CUUAAGAACCCCUACAUGUACCAGGUGCCAGAAAUAGACCCAGCAUUUGUUUCUAACACAGGGAAAGAGUGAGCUGGAGAAACCUCUCAAAUUCAAGAAAGCGUAAAGCAAAUUGAACAAUACGGGUGAGGUGUCUGAGAAAAAUCUGUUGCUGCUGUCUAGGAACAGGAUGAACAAGACCAGGAGGAGGUUUUCCUCUGUUUCACAGGAGCACGGACUAUUCUCUCAUGUUGAAUGUGGCACUUUUUACAUACAAGCAGGAGAGCAACUACACCAAGAUUUUGGAAAACAUGUUAUGUAAGGUUUUAUUUUUAAAAUCAGGAGAGAAUUUCUGCAACAUCCUAUGACCACAGAUCCCUACCCAUCUGCAUUGGGGCACUUACAGAUCACCUUCUCUUCUGAACUUUGUAUGAAGUGACCAUGUCCCUCCUAUCCCUUUCCAUGUGCACAAGAUCAUGUCAUCUUAAUUGUGACCUCUAUGAUGGGGAUAUGAUAAAGAAGAAAAGUACCUCACAGCGAUGAUUGGCAUGUGAUCACUUAGCCAAUGAGAUAAGAGGCUGUAGAAACGAUGUGAUAAUGACAUCUCCUGAGUUGCAGGUCCAUAUUAGAAGUGGAUAUGAAGUAAACAUUGAGCUUUCCUCACAUUUAAUUAACAAGCUUUAUUAUAGAUACAGCUCAAAUUAGUUAAUUCAGGAAGCUUAUUUUGUAGAAAUUAAAACAUUAAUAAACACAUACAUUUAGAAAUAAAGAACUCGGCUGACCCUUUGACUCUUUGAAACAAGUGGCCUUCCA
rnacentral:lncRNA from 1 species